ensembl:lncRNA
CCUGGCAGAAGAAGAUAGAAUAUGCCUGGGAACUUGGGGUUGAAAAUAUAAACAAUUAUAAUUGGUCUAGUGUGUGAAAAUGGUAGUAAUGUGAUAUUGGGGGUGGGAAUUGAUGAUGAUAUUUACGUGUGGUUAAGUACCCAAAACAUCAAAUUGGGGCUACCUUCGAAAAAAUUGGGCCCUAAAUAUAUUGGACCAUUCAGAAUACAGGGUGUUAUCAACGAGGUGACUUUCCAGUUGGCAUUGCCAAAAAGUUUAGGGAAAAUACACCCUGUAUUCCAUCGUAGCUUACUGAAAAAGUAUAGGGGUACUUUGGACAAAAUGGACACAUAGAAUUAUUGUUUGGUUUGUUUCAGAUUUGUGAUGAAAGAAGAACCGAAGAGGAGGACGAAGAAAAGGAGGGCACCAUGUCAUGGAACCCAGUUACAGGGCCGAAUUACCAAGCCCUGAACUGGGAGUCAUAACAUAAACAAUCCUAGAAGCACCUGGCAGAAGAAGAUAGAAUAUGCCUGGGAACUUGGGGUUGAAAAUAUAAACAAUUAUAAUUGGUCUAGUGUGUGAAAAUGGUAGUAAUGUGAUAUUGGGGGUGGGAAUUGAUGAUGAUAUUUAUAUCGGUGUAACAAAGCAGAUACAAACACAGUUUAUAUACUUAUAAUCCUGUUUCAGUUUUUCCCAAAGUCAUGUGUUCUUCAAUAAAGAUUGGAUUUGAGAGCAGCUAUCUCUGAUCUGCGUUCAGACUGAUCCUUUGAAGUGAGCAGGACACUUGGAGCUAAAACAUACAUGACAAUUGUGACAUAAGUGCUCCUCUAGUAAAGUCUUUACCUCAUCAAAGAUAUCUAUAGUACACAAUCCACACAGGAUAACCUGGUAUAAUCAUGCUACCGGUAGCUGUUUGUGACUGAUGCACUUUAAAUGAUUAUCUAUGCAGUCUUAAAUUUGGGACUUUCCAUGGUAGUUAGUUACACAAUCACAAGUAGUGGCUACAUAGCAUUUUCAGGACCAACUUGAGAAACUGUAAGUUGCUUCUGGUGUGAGAGAAUUGGCCAUCUGCAAGGACGUUGCCCAGGGUGUUUUACUAUCCUGUGGGAAGCUUCUCUCGUCUCUGCAUGGGAGCUGGAUCUGACAGAUGGGAGCUCACCCACUCCCUCGAUUCGAACCACAGCCAAGGGUUUAACAAUUUAAAACUUUAACCCAUUGCACCACCGGCAUGAGCACCCUCACUAUCACACAUCUUUCCAGUUACACAACUGCACUAAUUUGCUGAUCUGUGAUCCCAUACGUGUACUUCCAUAUAACACCCCCUCUCAUACUUUCAGUGUUGCUUUUUUAAAAAUCAAUUUUUGCAAUUGUAGGCAUAGUUAAUAAAAGGCAUUUAAAUAGAACUGAAAAUCAAAAAAUUACUGCUUCAGAAAUAGUGAGGAGAAAAGCAGGAGAGGAGGAGAAUCCUGUCCCGUGACAUCACUUCACUGCCAGUGUGCCUUUACUAAAGUGGAACAGCUCCUUCACAUAGAUAGGUGACAGGAACAUGGACUGAUUGGCAGGGAUUUUUAUCCAUCAAUAGCAGGAAAUGGCUUAAUCAUGGGGAAGAGAUAGACCAGCAACAGAAUCUGCUUGGCAUUAUGUGAUUGGGACCUGCCACUUGUAAUGGUCCUGCUUCAGUAGAAGUUUGUUUCUUUCGUUCAAUAAAGUCCUUGGACUCAAUGCCAGGACAGAUGCCAUUUUGAGAAUAACCUGCUAUUUAAAAGGAGCAGAACUACACAUGUCCAUUAUGACAUGAUUGCUGGCUCACAUCUGUUGGCUUCCUUGGCCUUGACCUUCCAUGGG